CCUANGGGGGGCAGCAGUGGGGAAUAUUGGACAAUGGGCGAAAGCCUGAUCCAGCAAUGCCGCGUGUGUGAUGAAGGCCUGCGGGUUGUAAAGCACUUUCGGUAAGGAAGAAAUGCUCAAAGCUAAUACCUUUGAGAGUUGACGUUACUUACAGAAGAAGCACCGGCUAACUCUGUGCCAGCAGCCGCGGUAAUACAGAGGGUGCAAGCGUUAAUCGGAGUUACUGGGCGUAAAGGGCGCGUAGGCGGAUAUUUAAGUCGGGUGUGAAAUCCCUGGGCUCAACCUAGGAAUUGCAUUCGAUACUGGAUGUCUAGAGUAUGGUAGAGGAAAGUGGAAUUCCCGGUGUAGUGGUUAAAUACGUAGAUAUCGGGAGGAACACCAGUGGCGAAGGCGGCUUUCUGGCCCAAUACUGACGCUGAGGCGCGAAAGCGUGGGGAGCAAACAGGAUUAGAUACCCCGNUAGUC
rnacentral:rRNA from 1 species